rnacentral:rRNA from 1 species
UGCAAGUCGAGCGGAGAGAGGUAGCUUGCUACUGAUCUUAGCGGCGGACGGGUGAGUAAUGCUUAGGAAUCUGCCUAUUAGUGGGGGACAACAUUUCGAAAGGAAUGCUAAUACCGCAUACGUCCUACGGGAGAAAGCAGGGGAUCUUCGGACCUUGCGCUAAUAGAUGAGCCUAAGUCGGAUUAGCUAGUUGGUGGGGUAAAGGCCUACCAAGGCGACGAUCUGUAGCGGGUCUGAGAGGAUGAUCCGCCACACUGGGACUGAGACACGGCCCAGACUCCUACGGGAGGCAGCAGUGGGGAAUAUUGGACAAUGGGCGGAAGCCUGAUCCAGCCAUGCCGCGUGUGUGAAGAAGGCCUUAUGGUUGUAAAGCACUUUAAGCGAGGAGGAGGCUACUUUAGUUAAUACCUAGAGAUAGUGGACGUUACUCGCAGAAUAAGCACCGGCUAACUCUGUGCCAGCAGCCGCGGUAAUACAGAGGGUGCAAGCGUUAAUCGGAUUUACUGGGCGUAAAGCGCGCGUAGGCGGCUAAUUAAGUCAAAUGUGAAAUCCCCGAGCUUAACUUGGGAAUUGCAUUCGAUACUGGUUAGCUAGAGUGUGGGAGAGGAUGGUAGAAUUCCAGGUGUAGCGGUGAAAUGCGUAGAGAUCUGGAGGAAUACCGAUGGCGAAGGCAGCCAUCUGGCCUAACACUGACGCUGAGGUGCG